UAGUUGAGUGAGCAUCUCCGACACGGCAACAACUGCUGUGCACUUUUUUUCACCAACUGGAUUCUUCAUUGCGUAAUUAGUUCGUAAUCAUGAUUGUAUAUAAGGAGAGAAAAGGCGAAAGAAUCAGUUGGGUGAUCAUCUCCGACACGACAACAACUGAUAUGCACUCCGGUAUUUGUCAUCUGCAUUCUUCGUCGUAUCACCAGUUUGCACUCAUGGUAAAUUAUGGCGUCGUGCUGCUGUUGAUUGUUGUCCUGAAGAACUUCACCACCGAGGCUCCAUAAAAUUUUACUACAAUUUAUGCUGCCCCGAGCUGUAUCACCAAUGUACUACGCCGGAGUACUACACCAUGGCUUCCAAGUACUACACCACCAAGGCACCGAAGUUAUACACGCCCCAACCUGCUAAACCGUGACUCCCAAGUAUUACUCUGCUUCAGUUACUACACCAGUACACCGAGGCUCCAACUCACUAUACCACCAAAGCUGCUGAAUACUAUACAGAAGCCACCAAGUACUACACCUCCAAGGCUACAGAAUGUUACACCACACCUUAUGCUGCCUCGAGCUACUACACCACAGCCCCGAAGUAUUAUUCUGCCCCGAGCCCGAGUACUUCACCGAGGUCCUGGAGUACUACACUACAACCUACGUUGCCCCAGCUCACUACACCGUGGCUCCCAAGUACUACAUCAACGAAUCACCUGAGCACGACUACGUGUGCUGCCUCAACCUACUACACCGAGACUCCCAAGUAUUACUCUGCUUCAGGUACUACACCCAGGCUCCAACUCCAAGUACUACAGCGAGAAGGUCGGAAUAUUACACAACCGCGUAUGCUGCUCCAGUUUACUACACCUGUUCUAACACACGUACUAACCCAAUCGAUUACGAAGAGAAAGGCGAAAAAAUAAGUCGAAUGAUUAUCUCCAACAUGGCAACAACAAAUGCAGUGCACUAUUUGUCACCAACGGCAAUCUUCUUACCACCAGUUCUCAAUCAUGGAUUAUUUAAUGUCUACUAAAUUAUGGCGUCAUGCUGCUGUUGGAUGUUGGAUCAUCGAUGGCUGGGUCAACAACUGGUGUACAUAUGUCUCCUGGGUAUGGCGGAUAUUAAAGCACAACAUAUCCGUCUUGUUACUCAAUAUCAACCAACGCAUCUCCAGCUUACCUAUUCAUCACCAAUUUUUGCAAUCAUGGAGUCGUUCUGUUCUUGAUUGUUGUCUUCAAAUACUACACCUACAAGGCAACCACCGAAUGUUACACCACACCUUACGCUGCCUCGAACUACUACACCACAGCCACGAAGUAUUAUUCUGCCCCGAACCCGAGUACUUCACCGAGGUCCUGGAGGUCCUACACUACAACCUACGUUGCCCCAGCUCACCAAACCGGAGCUCCUAUCUAUUACACCCCCAAAGCAACUGAGUACUACACAACUGCGUGUGCUGCCCCAACCUACUAUAUCGAGACCGAUCGAAACUCAAGUACUACUCUGCUUCAGUUACUACACCGAGGCUCCAACUUACUAAAAUUAGAAAAAAAGGAAGAAUUGUGUCCCCAUCCCCAGCAACGUCAACCUGCAAAAGACAAAAUUUUCACUCGAAGGUCACGGAGAUCAUUACGUAGAACGUGUCAUGCAGUGGUGUAGAUAUUAGGUGAGAAAGGGGUGUGUUUCAUUAUAAUUAAGCAGUUGCAACACCCGCAAGGCUUUAGAGGUGAGGGUGAGAAAAAAAUCGUAUAAAAGGAGAGAGAAAAGGUCAUACACAUCAGUUGAGUGAGCAUCACCGACACGGCAACAACUGCAGUGCACUACCUCCACCAACUGCCUUCUUCAUCGCGUUACCAGUUCUCAACCA
rnacentral:lncRNA from 1 species